rnacentral:rRNA from 1 species
CCUACGGGUGGCAGCAGUGAGGAAUAUUGGUCAAUGGCCGGAAGGCUGAACCAGCCAUGCCGCGUGAAGGUCAGUGCCCUAUGGGCGUUAAACUUCUUUUGUGCGGGAGCAAUAAUGGUCACGUGUGGCCCGACGAGAGUACCGUACGAAUAAGCAUCGGCUAACUCCGUGCCAGCAGCCGCGGUAAUACGGGGGAUGCAAGCGUUAUCCGGAUUUAUUGGGUUUAAAGGGUGCGUAGGCUGUGAGGUAAGUCAGCGGUGAAAUGCCCCCGCUCAACGGGGUGAAGUGCCAUUGAUACUGCCUGGCUGGAAUGCGGAUGCCGUGGGAGGAAUGUGUGGUGUAGCGGUGAAAUGCAUAGAUAUCGCGCAGAACUCCGAUUGCGAAGGCAGCGUACCGGCGCCGGACUGACGCUGAGGCACGAAAGCGUGGGUAUCGAACAGGAUUAGAUACCCGGGUAGUC